rnacentral:rRNA from 1 species
CAGUGGGGAAUAUUGCACAAUGGGCGGAAGCCUGAUGCAGCGACGCCGCGUGGGGGAUGACGGCCUUCGGGUUGUAAACCUCUUUCACCAGUGACGAACCUAGACGGUAGCUGGGGAAGAAGCGCCGGCUAACUACGUGCCAGCAGCCGCGGUAAUACGUAGGGCGCAAGCGUUGUCCGGAUUUAUUGGGCGUAAAGAGCUCGUAGGCGGCUUGUCGCGUCUGCCGUGAAAGCCCAUGGCUUAACUGUGGGUCUGCGGUGGAUACGGGCAGGCUAGAGGCAGGUAGGGGAGAACGGAAUUCCCGGUGUAGCGGUGAAAUGCGCAGAUAUCGGGAGGAACACCGGUGGCGAAGGCGGUUCUCUGGGCCUGUACUGACGCUGAGGAGCGAAAGCGUGGGGAGCGAACAGGAUUAGA